UCCCAAUUCCUUUCAUCACUCACCCUACAAAUUUCGCUGCAUGGCUCAUUUUCGAAGCGCUUGCCCAUUUCCUUGAAAUGUUAAAAAUAUCUCUACCUCACUCUGGCUCAAGAUAAGUUCACGUUUUGAUAAGUAGAAACCCUGAAGCAAUCCACAAAUGAAUUUCAUCUUACUCACUCCAUGUUUUGUUCACAUAAUGGACACAUUUUGGAAAUACUGCUCCUGUCCUAAGCAGUCUUACAUGCGAAAUUUCUACUAAAAAUAUUUCAACCACACUCAGGCCAAGGGCGUGUCAUCUCUCCGAACCACCUGCCGAUGUUUCUUUCCAAUGUUCAAAAUAUUUUACCUCACACACAUUCAAGCUCAGCAAUGCACUCUUAGUCUUCUACAGCUUAAGAAGGACAAAAUAUGUAGUCCACCAACUACAUAUCUCAUUGCAGGUAACAAUCGCACUUGCUGCAGUGCCAACACGGAGCACAGUGUCAUAUGGACCGUUUAAUAGCCAAUACACAGGCUGAGUGAGCUUACUUUCUUUUCUUCUCAGUAUUUCAACUGUGCAAAAUAAAUUAUCAUUUCAAUGUCA